CAGUCGCCACGGGAAUACGAAGGGGGCUAGCGUUGCUCGGAAUGACUGGGCGUAAAGGGCGCGUAGGCGGAUUGUUUAGUUAGGCGUGAAAUUCCUGGGCUUAACCUGGGGACUGCGCUUAAUACAGGCAGUCUAGAGUGAGGAAGAGGGUUGUGGAAUUCCCAGUGUAGAGGUGAAAUUCGUAGAUAUUGGGAAGAACACCGGUGGCGAAGGCGGCGACCUGGUCCUUGACUGACGCUGAGGCGCGAAAGCGUGGGGAGCAAACAGGAUUAGAGACCCCUGUAGUCCCUGUCUCUUAUAC
rnacentral:rRNA from 1 species